AGAUUAAGUUCAGAAUUACAGGGUACUCAAGAAAACAUUAGGUUUAUUGCAAACAGUGUCAGUGAUGAGAAAUGUUCCAUGUACGCUUGGAACUGGAAACCUGAUAAUGAGGGUGCUAUGAUAUUUAUCACUGAAGAACGUGCCAAGACAGUAUCAGCUGGCGAGCUAGGAGAUAAAGUAAGAUCAGUUCUGUUACAAGAUCUACUGGAUUCUGUUCAGACAGAAACUGUAAUUAUCAAAAUAGACAUUGAAGGGUUCGAGUGUAAGGUCCUGCUACCAUACCUUGAGAACAAAACUAAGGA